CCUACGGGAGGCAGCAGUGGGGAAUAUUGGGCAAUGGGCGCAAGCCUGACCCAGCAACGCCGCGUGAAGGAAGAAGGCCUUCGGGUUGUAAACUUCUUUUGUCAGGGAAGAGUAGAAGACGGUACCUGACGAAUAAGACACGGCUAACUACUGGCCAGCAGCCGCGGUAAUACGUAGGUGGCAAGCGUUGUCCGGAUUUACUGGGUGUAAAGGGCGUGUAGGCGGGUUGACAAGUCAGAUGGGAAAUCCUGCGGCUUAACCGGAGAACUGCAUUUGAAACUGUUGAGCUUGAGUACUGGAGAGGCAGACGGAAUUCCUGGUGUAGCGGUGAAAUGCGUAGAGAUUAGGAGGAACACCGGUGGCGAAGGCGGUCUGCUGGACAGCAACUGACGGUGAGGCGCGAAAGCGUGGGGAGCAAACAGGAUUAGAUACCCUAGUAGUC
rnacentral:rRNA from 1 species